rnacentral:rRNA from 1 species
UACGUAGGGGGCGAGCGUUAUCCGGAAUCAUUGGGCGUAAAGGGUACGUAGGCGGUUUUUCAAGCAUGAGGUGAAAGGCAAUGGCUUAACCAUUGUGAGCCUUGUGAACUGUAAGACUUGAGUGCUGGAGAGGAAAGCGGAAUUCCUAGUGUAGCGGUGAAAUGCGUAGAUAUUAGGAGGAACACCAGUGGCGAAGGCGGCUUUCUGGACAGUAACUGACGCUGAGGUACGAAAGCGUGGGGAGC